CAGCCGUAAACUAUGCUCGCUAGGUGUCAGGCAUGGCGCGACCGUGUCUGGUGCCGCAGGGAAGCCGUGAAGCGAGCCACCUGGGAAGUACGGCCGCAAGGCUGAAACUUAAAGGAAUUGGCGGGGGAGGCACAACAACGGGUGGAGCCUGCGGUUUAAUUUGGACUCAACGCCGGACAACUCACCGGGGACGGACAGCAAUAUGUAGGCCAGGCUGAAGACCUUGCCUGAAUCGCUGAGAGGAGGUGCAUGGCGUAGACGUCU
rnacentral:rRNA from 1 species